UACGAAGGGGGCUAGCGUUGCUCGGAAUCACUGGGCGUAAAGGGUGCGUAGGCGGGUCUUUAAGUCAGGGGUGAAAUCCUGGAGCUCAACUCCAGAACUGCCUUUGAUACUGAGGAUCUUGAGUUCGGGAGAGGUGAGUGGAACUGCGAGUGUAGAGGUGAAAUUCGUAGAUAUUCGCAAGAACACCAGUGGCGAAGGCGGCUCACUGGCCCGAUACUGACGCUGAGGCAC
rnacentral:rRNA from 1 species